rnacentral:lncRNA from 1 species
GCUAUAGUCGUCUUGGGUGGAAUUCUUGUAACAAAACCAUCGUUGAUAGAGUGGGAGAAGGUAUAUCGUGAUAGUAAAUCAUCCCUGAAGGCGGGGAAAGGACUGGGAGAAGCCUAUCAAAGGGAAAUAUUAAGUUUUUUAGUUUGGAGCUACAAUGAUUUACCCCCUCAGCUCAAGCCAUGCUUUUUAUAUUUAUCAAAGUUUGGUGAAGAUAAAUGGAUAAAAUUGGAGACUUUGUAUCAGCUAUGGAUCGCUGAAGGAAUGAUACUCUCGAGUGACAAGAGGGAAGGAGAAACAAUGAUACAAGUGGCUGAAUCAUACAUGGGAGAACUAGUCCACAGGAAUAUGGUUCAAGUGAGAUUUAACGAUGUAGAAUCAUCGCUUACAAAGUUUGAAUCUUGUUCUCUGCACGAUCUUAUGAGAGACAUGUCUUUAAUACAAGCAAAAGCAGAAGAUUUUUUUGAAGUAAUACAUUUCCAAAGUGGAAAUGAGUUUCAUCUCAAAUCUACUACAGAGUCAAGGUCAGCUUCCACUCGAGUUGUGAUUCGUUUGGAUGAGGAAUAUUCUAGCAAAGAAGCUAAUUACUACUUUACCAAGAAACGCAAUGAAGAAUGCUAUCGAUCAAUUUUACUCCUGGGUAAGUUUGGAGCAAGAAGUUUGCCACAGGCGCUGGGCUCACAUGUUGCCAAUUUUAGGUUCCUAAAAGUCUUUUCUGUGGAGCACUAUACCAAUUUUUCUGGAGCAUUUUCUCAUAUUAAUUUUGGAAGAGCAGUAGGGUCCCUUGUUUACUUGCGAUAUCUCAGUUUAAGGGACACUAAUUUGUUGAUUUUUCCAUCUCUACAAAAGUUGGUGCUAUUACAAACUCUAAAAUUGGAUACCGACAAGAUAUAUGUUUUACCAUGGCUGUCAAGAGAUGUUCUGGUGAAGAUGGAUUGUUUGCGGCAUCUGUAUUUGCCGAAAUUUAAAGUUGACGUUUUGGGAAGGAAAUCGAAAUUACGGUUUAAUGGGUUGAGCAAGUUAGAGACCCUGGAGAACUUUGACACUACUUGGUGUGAGGUUAAGGAUCUACGUGACCUAAUCAAUCUUCGGAAACUAACCCUAACAGUGAGAGGUAGCUUUGAUAUUCUGGAAGAAAUGAUGAAAAACUUGGAUGAUGUAGCCUCCUCACCAUCUUCAUGUCUGAGGUUCUUGGGUGUCACUAUUGUUUAUUGUCAUUUCGAGCUGAACAAUGGUCUUCCUAUCUUAAAACAAUUGGUAUAUGCCGAAAAUUUGAACCUUCGGGAAUUGAAAAUAUAUGGGCGUAUCCCAGAGGUGGGUCUAAUAUUCCGCUGCAUGUAUCCACAAUUUGUAUUACAACUUUAUAUUUAAGGAAAUCAUACCUGGAAGAAGACCCAAUGCCAAUAUUAGAAAUGCUUCCAGUGUUGAGUGUUCUCCAAAUGCGUGAGGAUACAUAUGUGGGGAAGGAGAUGGUGUGCUCCGCAACCGGUUUUCCUAAACUCACCCAUCUUAUUUUGUACAAGUUCACAAACCUUGAAAAAUGGAGGGUGGAGAAAGGAAGCAUGCCCAUCCUUUCACACUUGCGUAUUCAAAGAUGUAACAAGUUGGAGGAGCUUCCCGAAGGCCUUGUGUUCCUCAAGUCCCUUCAAAUAUAUCAAAUGCCUCAAGAUUUCAAUGAUAGGCUUAAAAGGCAAGAUGGUGAAGAAGGACCCGACUUUCACAAAAUUUCUCAUGUCCUUAGACUCAUUAUUGAUGGUCAGGACUACAUUUGAAUGUUCUUGUAAGUUUGCAAGGUAUAAAGUUUUGUUUUGGUCGUGAAGAACAUAUUGCUUGAGAACUUAUUUGAUCAUUUGCUUCUCAUUAACCUAAUUUUAUAUGAUUAAUAUAUUUUCCAUCAAAAUUAAUACUUUUACUGUUGAAAAUAAUUUAAUUAAUACGCAAAAAUUUUAAAAAAUAAAUUACAAAGUAUACUUUAUAGAAUAUUAAAGGGUUUGCCGAUUCACGUCCCCAACAUAUAUUAAUCAGGACGAUGGAGAGCGUAAUAAUUAAAUAAUUUCAAUAACCGGAUUUUGGACUAUAUAUUUUAGUUUUUGAAUGUUCGGUUAUUUUAUGAUGGUUAUUAAUAUGAGUAAAGAUUUGUAUAAAUUUAUAUUUAAAAAUUUAUGCAACAUGAAGUUAAAUAAAUUAUUUCAAUAAAUAAAUAUAGAUCAUCAUCAUAAUCAUCAUCAUUAUUACUUUUUAUAUUUUGGAACAAUUAUAAUAGUAGGAUUCUUAAACAAUUAUUUAAAAGUUAAACAUUUUAUGCUGAACUCUAAUCCUUUGAAAAAAAAAUAAAAAAUCACUACUUUUUUCAACGAAAAAAAUGUAUGCGUUGAAUUACAUUUGGUUGCAAACUUAAUCUUUUUUCUUAAAAAUUUUACAAAAAAAGUACAUCACUUUUUAGACUCUAAACAUAUGUCCAAAAAAAAACUCUAAACAUGUGUUUAGAGCUUUAUUCUAAACAGAUUAUUAGUUCCAUACAAUUACGAUCAUCGGACUAUUUUUCAGACUAUUAAUUCCAUACAGUUACGAUCAUGAGACUACUUAAAAGAACUACUUCUUUAGAAAAAGGCUCAAAGAACUACUCCUUUAGGAAAAGGCUCAGCAUCCUCAGGUUCAUGUUCACACCAUAUUCUCUUGUGAAUUACUAGGGGCACAAUUUUCAUCAUUUUCUUUGUCUUACAAGCCAUGCAAUCUAGUCAUUUAAAAUUGAUCACUUUAAAGACCAUCCUUGUGUCUCGUUCAUUUUCCUUGUGGUGAACAAGAGUUAAACAUAUUCGGAAGCGAUAAAUAUAAGUGUCUUAUUACAGAAUAUCGAUUUAUGAUAAUGUUAGGCUGCAGUAAAUGAGAGGAAAUAAUAUUUCACUGACCAAUAUGUAAUAUGUUUUCAUGCGAUUGCGGCCAACACAACAGAGCACAUUGUUUCCCACAUGUUGCCACAAAACACCAAAACUAGGAGACUUCUAACUCUUGACUCCACCCAUUGUUCAAACUUUUUCUUUGUGAUCUUCUCUUUUUUAUAAUAAAACACUUUUGGUUUUUCUUUUCUUUAUGGUUAAACUACAAUAUAUACAGCGUUUAGGAUGGGGAAACUGCUUUCUUCAAGAUGCUGAAGGCAACGAGCAUAAGCAGUGAUAUCAUGAUCUUCUUUGAAGCAAGUAUCCGCAAGUUCACCUUCAUGCCAUGGUCUCUCAUGAGCUUUAGUGUUGCCCUAAUCACUGACAUAAGCCAAGAUACAAUGGACAAGAACACCACUUUCAUUGUGUCUGCAGGUCCACUCACACUUCUUGUGCCUCCCGACACCUCAACGUAGGACCAAGCAGCGCCUUGAUUAUCGGUGGUUCCACUAUGAUUGAGGCCAAGUUUCUUGUUCAACCAACAUGAUAAAGUCACAAGCAGCUUUGCAAGCCAUGCAAUCUCAUCACUGGAGACUGGUCGCUUCAACCAGUCACCCCUGUAUUUCGUACCGGUUUGCUUCUUGUUGCGUAUCAUUCUAGGACUAAAUAUCUCAUCACGUGGAUGCUGAUUUUCUCUUGUCUCGGGGACUGCUUGUGUGUUCCUUGGAGUAGAGUUACCAAAUAAGCACCCCAUCUGGGCUUUGAUAGAAUCUAAACAAGCCAUAUUCUGAGCAUGAUUAUCUCCCAAGACAGUCUGCAGCUCCGACUCAGCACGCAACACAAAGAGCUGCAAUAACAAUGUGACUAGUGAGUGAGACUUGACAUUUAAAAUGACACCAUCCAUUUCAGUUCCUAGAAUUUAUAUGGUUCAUACAGAUAUAUUUAAGUACACUAUAUGCUAAAAGAAGAGAGGGGGAAAUAAACCUGUAGCAGCUGUUGUCUGCCAUCAUCACCAUCACUAAAUAACUGCAAAUCCUUGUUCCAAUUCUCGUGCAAGAAAGAGCCAUCAGCAUCAUUUUCACACAAUCCAUCCUCCCAGUCCUUGUAACGCAAAAAAGAACAAGGGAUUUACAUAUAAACAUCUGAAAAAGAGUUGAAGAAUGCGCUCGCGCACACAAAAGAGAUGCAGUUAGGUCUUCAUACCUGCAGUUGUUCUCUGAUUGAUGGAACAAAUCUGUACAAGUUGUUGUGUAUGGGUUUGGAUGACCCAGAAGGCUUAGAAUGGAAGACAGUGUCCACAUUGUUUAUAAGAUUCAUCAGCUCACUGGACGAUGUCAAUAUGCUUAAGACCUGCACAAGAAAUACAAGAAACAUAUACAAAAUAAGUAAACGGAAACUAUAACGAAUUGAUCCUGGGAUAAAAAUAUUUACUAAUUAUAAAAGAAAAUUUCCCCACUGUUACCCUGACUCUUCAUUUUGCCUCAAGUACCGGUGUCGGACACUCAACACUUGAACAUAGGUACAGACACUACAGAACUUAUUUUAGGCCAAAAACAUGUAAAUUUUUCAGAAUACUACCGAGACACACUCGGACAGGUAACCAUGUUGGACACUUUUAGCUGACUCCUGGUAAUAUAGAUUCUUCAUAUAUAAGCUUACCAGAAGUAUCCCAUCAGCGCCCAUAAAUGAAAAGAAGCCGAAAGAAACUAUAAAAGAGGAAUAUAGCAGAUUAUUAUUAAUUAGUAGCCUUGCAUCAGUUUCCUCUAUAAUUCAACACAAGUAGCUUUCUGUUGUCGUUCAUUCAGAUGUAUCCAUCGAGCAUUUGCCAGGACCGCUGAAGCAAUUUAGGCUUUUAUCUAUAGUCUAUGCAUGCAAAACUAUGGUUGAGCGUCACUAACUACAGACCAAUUUAAUUUAUUUUUUAUUUAUCCUCUUAUGUUCUGCUUAUCCACGUUAAAAAAAUAAAAAAUUGACUUGGUCAAAAAUAUACACAACACAACUAUAUAUGGAGAAACUUGUGAGCAAAUCCUAAAAAAUGCAUAACCAAGGAACUAUAGAACAAAUAGUUGAUCAACACAAAGCAUUGCCAGGAACUAGAAUAUCCACUUGAAGAAGACUGUACUUCCUUUUUAGUACCAUUGCUCGACACCUCAGCAUUUACAUCUAGACCAGAAAAAUCUUCAAAGCUAAUGUUCCAAGGUUCUAUAUAAUUAAUCCCAAGCCAAAACACCUGAGAUCUGGGAAGUACUGGACGCAAAUACGGGGAGUCCGGAAAAUGAGUAUUUGGCAUGGGAAUACCAAAAAUAUAAAAAAUAUUUAAAUUAUACUCCAUUUCACACUCUCAUUUCUUAGCACUCACACACAUUUUAAAAGUGCGUAUCCUUUAUUCUAUACAUGAAUCCACCACAGUAUGCAGUUAACCAAUAAAAAAAUAAAUGGAUCUGAAUAUGGAUUUGACUAAAUCCGAUACAAAAAAAAAAUGAUUUAAAAAGGUCAGAGUCAAAGCAGUGGACUGUAUUAGACAUAUGUGCAUCACAUAUAUACAGAUCUGGACCAGAGAAGAGAUAGCAAAACAAGCAGCAGAGUGAACUCAGACAAGAGAUAACAGUCUGAAAGCGAAGUCACCGUCUCCGCUAGUAGAGUUGGGUAUGUAUCUUUGUAAUAUAAGUUUUGUUUUUUGUUUUAAUGAAUUAUUGCAGAAGCAUGAUGACUUAUUGUUGAACUUUGCAACCAAAGAACCAUGAAAAUGAUUCAAGACUGUCUCAGAGUCAUAUAGAAUAGUUUAAUUAAUAUACAGCAAAGGGGAAUAGUGAUCAGCAAUAGAGAAUCUAAUGUGCUCAUGACACCAAUACAUUUUUACUACUUUAUUACUCUCUCGAUCCUAUUUUUAACUACUUGUUUGGUUCCUGGGAGAAGAAUAGGUUAAAUAAAUUUAUAUGGCUGAAGCAAUUGUGUCGAUUGUUGUGGGAAGGCUCGCUGAUUUGUUGGUUGAAAAACCCCAAACCCUCUAUGAAGUGAGAGAUGAAAUUCAACUAGCGGUCACCGAGCUCACGCGGAUAAAGACAUUCUUACCGGACGCUGAUUCAAGGAUGGAUGUAGAAAGAAUCCGGAUUUUGCUCCGGGAUGUAAGAGAGCUUGCCUAUGAUGCUGAACAUGUUGUCGAAACUUUUGUUAUUAAAGCCUCAUCCACUAAAAAACCAUUUCAGCGGAUGAACAGAGUCAAGUUUUCUAGAAAGAUGAAAAAUAUACAGAAAAAGAUGUCCCUCCUCUUCAAUUUAUUUUCUGAUUAUAAUAUCAUACCAACUUCUGAAUCAACUUCCUCAAAAAGAGAAUCGGGAAAACUUAAGCGAUUUCACUCUUUCACUACUCCUGAACCACAGAUAUUUGUUGGAUUUCAUGAAGAUGUUGAGUGUUUGGUGCGACAUUUGGUGAAUGAAGCUGAUGAUUCAUACCCACUUAUAUCUAUUUGUGGAAUGGGGGGUCUGGGAAAGACCACUCUAGCUCAAAAGAUAUACAAUCACUCUGCCAUCAAGACUCACUUUGCUGGUUUAGCAUGGGUAUCAAUUUCGCAAAAGUGGCAAACAGAUCGCGUGUUGCAGAGAAUUCUCAUAUGUCUCGUCCCUGAGAACAAAGAGUCUAUCCUUAAUAUGGACAGUGACAAGCUAGUCGAGUAUAUGUUAAAAAGCCAGGGAAAGAAAAAAUGUUUGAUAGUUCUCGAUGAUAUAUGGUCAACUGAUAUUUGGAGUGCAUUAAAAGUNNNNNNNNNNNNNNNNNNNNNNNNNNNNNNNNNNNNNNNNNNNNNNNNNNNNNNNNNNNNNNNNNNNNNNNNNNNNNNNNNNNNNNNNNNNNNNNNNNNNNNNNNNNNNNNNNNNNNNNNNNNNNNNNNNNNNNNNNGAUGGAAAAACUGGGAAGGGAAAUGGUUGAACAUUGUGCCGGUCUUCCGCUAGCUAUAGUCGUCUUGGGUGGAAUUCUUGUAACAAAACCAUCGUUGAUAGAGUGGGUGAAGGUAUAUCGUGAUAGUAAAUCAUCCCUGAAGGCGGGGAAAGGACUGGGAGAAGCCUAUCAAAGGGAAAUAUAAGUUUUUUAAUAUGGAGCUACAAUGAUUUACCGCCUCAGCUGAAGCCAUGCUUUCUAUAUUUAUCUAAGUUUAGUGAAGAUGAAUCGAUAGACAUAGAGACUUUGUAUCAGCUAUGGAUCGCAGAAGGAAUGAUACUCUCGAGUGACAAAAGGGAAGGAGAAACAAUGAUACAAGUGGCUGAAUCAUACAUGGGAGAACUAGUCCACAGGAAUAUGGUUCAAGUGAGAUUUAACGAUGUAGAAUCAUCGCUUACAAAGUUUGAAUAUUGUUCUCUGCACGAUCUUAUGAGAGACAUGUCUUUAAUACAAGCAAAAGCAGAAGAUUUUUUUGAAGAAAUACAUUUCCAAAGUGGAAAUGAGUUUCAUCUCAAAUCUACUACAGAGUCAAGGUCAGCUUCCACUCGAGUUGUGAUUCGUUUGGAUGAGGAAUAUUCUAGCAAAGAAGCUAAUUACUACUUUUCCAAGAAACGCAAUCAAAAAUGCUAUCGAUCAAUUUUACUCCUCUGUGAGUUUGGGGCGAGAAGUCUGCCACGGGCACUGGGGUUACAUUUUGCCAAUUUUAGGUUCCUAAAAGUCUUUUCUGUGGAGAAUUAUACCAAUUUUUCUGGUGCAUUUUCUCAUUUUAAUGUUGGAAGAGCAUUAGGGUCCCUUGUUUACUUGAGAUAUCUUAGUGUAAGGGGCAGUAAUUUGUUGGUUUUUCCAUCUCUACAAAAGUUGAUGCUAUUACAAACUCUCAAAUUUGAUACGAAGAAGAAGAUAUAUGUUUUACCAUGGAUGCCAAGAGAUGUUCUGGUCAAGCUGGAUUGUUUGCGGCAUCUGUAUUUGCCUAAAGUUCAAGUUAACCUUAUGGGAAGGGAAUCGAAAUUUCGAUUUAAUGGGUUGAGCAAGUUAGAGACACUGGAGAACUUUAACGCUAGUUGGUGUGAGGUUAAGGAUCUACGUGAACUAAUCAAUCUUCGGAAACUAACGCUAGCAGUGAUAGCUAGCUAUGAUAUUCUGGAGGAAAUGAUGAAAAACUUGGCUGAUAUAGCCUCAUCACCAUCUUCAUGUCUGAGGUACUUGGGUGUUACUAUUAGUCAUUGUCAUCUCGAGCUGAACAAUGGUCUUACGAUCUUAAAACAAUUGGUAUAUGCUGAAAAUUUGAACCUUCGGGAUUUGAAAAUAUAUGGCCCUAUCCCAGAGGUGGGUCUAAUAUUUCCGCUGCAUGUAUCUACAAUUCGUAUUACAAAAUUAACUUUAGCGAGAUCACACCUAGAAGAAGACCCAAUGCCAAUACUGGAAAUGCUUCCAAUGUUGGAUGUUCUCCAUAUGUGUACGGAUACCUAUGUGGGGAAGGAGAUGGUGUGCUCGGCAACCGGUUUUCCUAAACUCACCUAUCUUUUUUUGGACAGCUUCCCGAACCUUGAAAAAUGGAGGGUGGAGGAAGGAAGCAUGCCCAUCCUUUUAUACUUGUCUAUUGAAAGAUGUAACAAGUUGGAGGAGCUUCCACGAGGCCUGGUGUUCCUCAACUCCCUUCGAGUACUAAAAAUAUUUCAAAUGCCUCAAGAUUUCAAUGAUAGACUUAUAAGAGAAGAUGAAGAAGGACCCGACUUUCACAAAAUUUCUCACGUUCGUAGAGUCCGCAUCGACGAUCUGGUAUACGAUUUCUUAUAAGGGAUGUUCUUGUAGGUCGUAACGUUUUCUGUUAUAAUCCCAAAGAACAAAUUGCUUGAGUAGCAACUUAUCAAACAAUCUUAUAUAUACCUUUAUCUUCAAAAAAAAAAUCUUAAAUAUACCUUCAAAAUUUUAUAAUAUUUUAUUAAAAUUUUCAUUUUCAAUCAUAGUUUUGUAUGAUUAAUGUAGUUUUUAAUAUAAAAGAGUUAAAAAAUACUUUUACAUAUAACUGAAUCCAAUUUUCAAUAAUAGCGACUGUAAAAAAUAUACUAGCUUAUAACCCGUGCAAUGCACGGGCGGUUAUAAUAUGUGUUAUUAUAUUAUAUAUAUUUUAAAUUUAACUAAUUUUAUUUUGAAAAUUAAAUCAUGAUAUAAUAAUAUGAUUAAAUAAAUUUUUUAUUUAACAACUGAAUAAAUUGUUAGCAGUUAAGUCUUUCAAAUAGCUAAUUAAAAAUUAAGUCGAACAUAUAUAUUUUAAUGAAGAUGUUAAAAUAUAUAUUUUUAUAUGUUAUAAUUUAAUAAGACCUAUAAACCCAGAUAUAUAUCGACCAAUCAAUAUUUCGUUAUUAAUGAUUAAUAAUAUCGUAUAGAAUAUAUUAAUAAGUUAAAGAGACGCGUAAAUCCAAAUAUCGACCUAUCAUACUGACUAAUUUAUAAUAUGUUAUAAAUUAAAGAGGUUCGGGGUUGAAUACCAACCGGAUCGCCAAACUCGACCGACAAAUUGAACUUUUCUUAUUUCGACUAAUGUUUUACUUUUAAUAAUAUAGUAUAGAUAUAUAAUAAUAUUGUCUUUUUUAUAUGUAUGUUCCAUGUGUUAUAUAUGUUUAGAAAAAUCCGAUUUUAGUUAGGAAUGUGAAAAAGAUAAUGUCUUUUAGUUAAAAAGGGUAAUUGCUAUCUUGUCCAAUAUUAUUUUUAGAAAAUUGAGUUUUUUAAGUUAGAAAAUAUAAAAAAGAUAAUAGUAUUAGUUAAAAAAGAUGUUUGAUUAGAUAAAUAGGCUCAUAACUCAGCCCAAGUACCGACCGACCAAACUUUGAAUGUUUCGACUUCAAUAGUAUAGUAAUUUUGAAGUAUUAAUAUAAUUUUUAUAAGCCGCUGCAACGCGCGGCUUCUCAGCUAGUUAUUAUAAAUACAGGAUUCCUUAAACAACUUACAAUGGAAGAUGUAAUAGUUUUAUGAAAAUUAUUAUUAAUAUUAAAAUUAAAACACUAACUUUUAUUAUUUAAAAGUUAAACAACUGCAGGACUCUAAACCUUUAAAAUGUGAAUUAAAAAAAAGUUCACUUUUUUCAACAAAGAAGUUCUGUUGGUGUUGAAUCGAAUUUGAUUGCAAGUUGCCGGAAUUAAUUAAUAAUUACAAUCAUAUUUUCAUAAGACUUUUAAAAAGAUAGUAACUCCAAAAAAUUCUACAAAGAUGGUGUAUCCUUAAUUUUAUACUCUUGGGGCAAAACAAAGUUUUAUAUUCACAACAAGCUAUCAGUUCUAUACAAUUACAAUCAUCAUAUCUAUACUAUAUUAUUGAAACCGAAACAUUAAAAGUUUGGUCGGUCGGUAUUUGAGCCAAAAUACGAGUUUAUCAGUUAUUUUUUAACUAAAAUAUAUCUUCUUUUUAAUAUUUUCUAAAUAAAAAAACUCAAACUUUCAAAAUAACAUCGAGCAACAUAGUAAUUACCUUUUUAACUAAAACAAUUAUCAUUUUUAGAUUUUCUAACUAAAAAGCCGAGCUUCUAUUAUUAACACGGGCUACAUUAACAUUAUUUUAAAAUACUUUAACGGUCUCACUUUAAAAGUAAUAUUAUAAAUCUAUAUUAUACCAUUAAAGCCGAAACAUGAAAAGUUCGGUCGGUCAAUUGUUCGGCCGGUCACUCGAGUUUAGUGAGCCUGUUAGUAUUCGACCCAUAAACAUCUUUAAUUAAUAAAAUAUUAUAAUAUUAAAAACACUCAAUUUCCUAAAAAUAAUAUUAGAUUAUGAAUAACAUAGCAACUACUUUUUAUGAUUAAAACACAUUAUCAUUUUCAUAUUCGUAAUCAAAAAAUCGUUUUUUUAAAAAUAACACAUGCAAUAUACAUAUAAAAAGAUAAUAUUAUUAUAUAUAAUUAUUAAUAUACAACCGAUGAUAUUUUUCAAUAAAAUGCAUUAAUGCUGUUUUUAAUUACUCCAUGUUAUCAUUUCAAAAUAAUAUCAUAGAUCUAUACUAUCUAUUUAUACCCUACUAUGCUAUAUUAUUAUUAUUAUUAUUAUUAUUAUUAUUAUUAUUAUUAUUAUUAUUAUUAUUAUUAUUAUUAUUAUUAUUAUUAUUCUUUUAAAAUUGAAAAAUUAAUAAUUUUAUCGGUCGGUAGAGUUUUAUCAGCCGCUCGUAUUAUUCUACGGGCCUCCUUGAUAUAUAACGUGUUCUAAUAAACUUUUUAUUAUCAAUUAAGUCAAAAAAUAUAAAAAUUCGGUUAGUAUGAUCGAUUUCUGUUUCAAUUAAAUUUAUGAUUUAAACGAUAAAAUUAUAAAUAUUAUAAAUCAACCGUGCAUGGAACGGGUUAUAAACUAGUAUUAAUUAUUAUGAUAGAAUAGUUAUUAUAUUUUAAUAUUGGUCCUGAGAGAUGAAAUUUUUUAUGAAUUUAGAAAAUUAAUCACUUUACAGAAUAUUAAUUUAUAGAAAUUUUACUAUAUUAGGUGUUGAUUUUCUUAUGUUAGAAUAUUAUUUAAUAAACAAGUAGGAUAAUUUAUAAGGAUUGUAUUGGAUUAGGUGCUGAAUUUCUUAUUUUAAUUAUUAUUUAAUAGGUAGGUAGCGUUAUUUGUCGUGGAUGAAAGUGACACAAAUAUUGAUAUGAGUCAUUUUAUAAUUGUUUAGUAAUAUACCGUAGAAUUCCGCCAGCUAAUCGGUUGUUAAACUUUGCUUUUACAUGCCCAUCGUUUAGUAUACAAUGAAUCAAUGAUUGUCAUUUAUUUAGGAAUUAAAUAAUGAAUAACUCACACUUGUUCGGUUUAAUCUCAAAUUAGGGUUUUUCUCAAAAAAAAAAAAAAAAAUCUCAAAUUAGGGUUUUGAGAGUCGACUCCCAAAACUGGUAGUCACUUCUCCAUUCUUCACCUUCAUCCUCUUCAUCCACCAAAUCCUUUUCGCUCUCCCAUCUUAUUCACUAUUUAUCAGGUUUUUUGUUUUUCAAUAAAAGCGAGUGUUGCUUAUACCUCGAAGAUUCCAAUCGAGUUUUAUUCUCGGAUCUGUUUCGGAUUUGAGCUUGGGCUUGAUUGUUUUCUGAAUAAAUCAGAUCUUUUGAAAUCAAAGGUCCGAUCAUGUUUUCCCAUCUCGCCUUUUGGCGUGUGUUGAUUUAGUACCCAAUUUUUGGGUGAUUCUGCGUUGUUACACUUGUGGUUGUUAUGUUUUUCUGUGUUAUCAGUGAGAAUGAUUUGGAUGGAGUUUUGGGAGAUCUAACUUAUCGCAUCAUUAAUACUUUCGGCAUGUCUAUAGCUGGCUCCCGGCAUGUAGAUAGCUGGGGUAUGCUUGGAACGGUGGCGAUCGCAUGUGCUCACCUUUCACAAAUUAUAGUUGUUCAUUAUUCGAGGACUCUUGUUACUCAUUGCUUAGUUUUUACAACUGAGUCGCCUGAACACCGUAACAGCCAUGGAACUAUUGUGAAGGUCAAUUGUGAAGCUACCAUUUUCGCGAUUGAUGUAGGCUGGAUUACUCGAGCCUUUGUAUUCAUUUUUAGUUUCAAUGUAUCCAGUGUGUUAAGCAGUCUGGAAACAAUGCGGCUAUUUGUUUAGCUCGUUUUAUUGUUUAUCAACCUGAUUGCAUUGUCUGUUGGAGAUUUGUCCCGACUAGACUUGUUUUAAUUUAUUGAAAUGAAUUUGCAUUUUGUCAAAAAUAAAUAAAUAAUGAAUAACUCCAUAUACAGGAGUAGGUUAAUAGUAGUAUUAUUCUGUUGAUUCCAUGCAGUUCAACUAUCAGGAAUGUUUGUUUACGAGAAGCUGGGGUUUGCUUCUAACUGCUUCUUUUGACCCGUUUGUGUAAAAAAGUAGAAGCACUUUUGAGAAUGCUAUCUUCUCUCUCACAGCUUCUGUUUAUUUUCCAAACACUUUAUUAACUUAUUUAAUUCUCACUUCUACUCCAUUUCUUUACUAUAAGCAAGAAAUUACAAUUUUUAAGCUAACUCAAACAGGCCCAUCAUUUUCUCUGGUGUAAACUUGACCGGUCUAGCUCGAGUAUAGUCGACCCAAAUUAUUUAUUGUGCUAGCUAUGCUAACACCGACUCUAUAACUAACAAUCCCUGUGGCGGGACGUGACAUCGAUAAAAGUUAGUAAUUAAAUAUUUAUAUAAAAGAAAUUAAAAUUAUAUUAUAAAAAUAUUUUAUAUGAUCUUUAAAAUAUGUGUGUAAAAAAGACAGUAAAUAAAUCAAAGGAACGGAAGGAGUACUAACUACAACUACGGCUAGGGCCCCGGAUGAGACCAUCAGGGUUGCUCUUACCUAAUUAAUAUGCUUCGGCCAAGUGGAAUAGCAGUGAACAAUUAUAGAGAAUAUUCUGAGUGUGCAGAAGAAAGAAACAAGUAUAUGCUGCUUGACUUCUUAUAUUACUGAUUAUUUAAUACGCAAGUAGAGUUAAUAGUUGUUGAUAGAGAUGAUGCAAAAAUUGAUGUUUUGCUUAUGCUGAGUCAUUUCAUCAUUGUUUAUUAGUUAGUUGUAGAAUUAUGAGCUGAUCGGUUGUUAAGCUUUGUUUCUACAUGCUCUUAAUUUGCGAGCUUCAUGCAGUUCAAUUCCUUUAUAUAGGGUUGUUUGGUUUCUGGCAAAGAAUAACAAAUUAAUAUGGCUGAAGCAAUUGUGUCGAUUGUUGUGGGAAGGCUCACUGACUUGUUAAUUGAAAAAGCUCUAAUCCUUCAGGAAGUGAGAGAUGAAAUUGAAGUCGCGGUAGCUGGGCUCGUGCGGAUAAAAACAUUCUUACCAGAUGCUGAUUCAAGGAUGGAUGUAGAAAGAAUCCACAUUUUGCUCCGGGAUGUACGAGAUCUUGCCUAUGAAGCCGAACAUGCUGUUGAAAGUUUUGUUAUUAAAGCCUCAUCCACUAAAAAACCAUUUCAAUGGAUGAACAGAGGCAAGUUUUCAAGGAAGAUGAAAGAUAUACAAAAAAAGAUGUCUAUCUUCUUCGAUUUAUUUUCUGAUUAUAAUAUCAGACCAACUUCUGAAUCAUCAACUUCCUCCAACAGAGAAUCGGGAAAACUAAAGCGAUUUCACUCUUUCACUACUCCUGAACCACAGAUAUUUGUUGGAUUUCAUGAAGAUGUUGAGUGUUUGGUGCGACAUUUGGUGAAUGAAGCUGAUGAUUCAUACCCACUUAUAUCUAUUUGUGGAAUGGGGGGUCUGGGAAAGACCACUCUAGCUCAAAAGAUAUACAAUCACUCUGCCAUCAAGACUCACUUUGCAGCUGGUUUAGCAUGGGUAACAAUCUCGCGGAAGUGGCAAACAGAUCGUGUGUUGCAGAGAAUUCUCAUAUGUCUCGUCCCUGGGAACAAAGAUUCUAUCCUUAAUAUGGACACUGACAAGCUAGUGGAGUAUAUGCUACAAAUCCAGGGAAGGAAAAAAUGUUUGAUAGUUCUCGAUGAUAUAUGGUCAACUGAUGCUUGGGAUGCAUUAAAAGCUGCAUUUCCAGCCGGGAAGUCCAUGAGCAAAUUAAUGCUUACAAGUCGUAAUGCUGAGGUUGCUGAGCAUGUAAAUUUAGACGGAUUCAUUCACAAGCCAGAAUGUCUAAGUCCCGAACAAAGUUGGGAGCUACUCAGGUUGAAAGCACUUCACACAGGAAAUUGUCUAGGUACAUAAUUUUACUUGCGGUAAUCAUGGUUCAUAUACUUUUUUUAUACCAUAUAUUUUGUCCGACAACCUUAACGAACCAUAUUUUUGGUUAUCGGAGUUUGAUAAGUUUGGUUAGAGAUCUUUCCGACAUCCUUAAAGAACAUUGUUCUGUUCAAUAACGUUUUGUUCGUGUUCGUUUGAAUUCGUUAGUUCGUUUACAAACCUGUGUAUUAGAAUUGUAAACGGAUCUAACAGUUCAUUAAGUGCUCUCUUGAGGUUGAGUUAAAAAACUCGAGCUCGAAACACAUAUUUUGUUUAACAACCUUAACAAACUCUAGAAGGUUUAGUAAUUUUUCUCGUGUUGACUCGAAGUUUAUUGGAGUUAAGGUCAUAGAGGGCUCUAACUUGAACCUGUCUUUUAAACAUUUGCAUUACUUAAACGACUAAAUUAGAAAUUAUCUUGGCUUAUGAGUGUAUUCCUAUAUAUACACACACAUUUGAUUCCUGUUUCUUGUUUGUUGCAGACAUUACCAGAGAUGUAAAAAGGAUGGAAGAACUGGGAAGGGAAAUGGUUGAACAUUGUGCUGGUCUUCCGCUAGCUAUAGUCGUUUUGGGUGGAAUUCUUGUAACAAAACCGUCGUUGAGAGAGUGGGAGAAGGUAUAUCGUGAUAGUAAAUCAUCCCUGAAGGCAGGUAAAGGACUGGAUAAAGACUAUCAAAGGGAAAUAUUAAGUUUUUUAAUAUGGAGCUACAAUGAUUUACCGCCUCAGCUGAAGCCAUGCUUUCUAUAUUUAUCUAAGUUUAGUGAAGAUGAAUCGAUAGACAUAGAGACUUUGUAUCAGCUAUGGAUCGC